rnacentral:rRNA from 1 species
CAUAUAUCAUAUAUUAAACUGAUAAGAACAGAUACUACACUUGAUCUUAGCCAAAAGGCCGAGAAAGGUAUGAGUUGAAACGUAGUCUUGCCCCUGCUCUUAUACCCGUCCGAAGAGCUAUGCUGAUCUGCGCAAGCGGUGUGGGACUAA